rnacentral:rRNA from 1 species
GGUACGGGGGGCAAGCGUUGUUCGGAAUUACUGGGCGUAAAGGGCUCGUAGGCGGCCAACUAAGUCAGACGUGAAAUCCCUCGGCUUAACCGGGGAACUGCGUCUGAUACUGGAUGGCUUGAAUUCGGGAGAGGGAUGCGGAAUUCCAGGUGUAGCGGUGAAAUGCGUAGAUAUCUGGAGGAACACCAAUGGCGAAGGCAGCUCGCUGGGACGUGACUGACGCUGAGACGCGAAAGCGUGGGGAGCAAACAGG